CAGGAACCGCCGAUGUCCUCUCAGGCAGAUCGAGGGGGUGUUACCAUUGAGCUUGGCUGCACGACCCAGGUUCCAUUGACCAGAAACCGAACUAGUUCGCCACCAAAAUUUUGCAGCUAUUGAAGGUGGUCAGAAUGUGAAUAUACAGCUGUGAUUGGCUCACCUCCAGAAACUCCUACCAAUGACAAGAUACAAGUGAGAAUGAUGGAAUACUCUUCACUUACUUGAUCCUCACCAUCCAGGCCAUGCCAUCUUCUCGCAGCUACCAUCGGGCAGGAGGUACAGAAGCCUGAAGUCCCACACCACAGGCUCAAGAACAGCUACUUCCCUUCAACCAUUCAGUUCUUGAACCAACCUGCACAACCCUAAUCACUACUUCAGUAUAGCAACACUAUGACCACUUUGACCACUUUGCACUACAAUGAACUUUACUUUUUUUGUUCUAAUUGUGUUCUUUUUUGUAUAAUUUUGUAUAAUUUAUGUUUUUCUUGUGACUAUUGUGUCUCUGGUGCUAUGUGCCUGUGAUACUGCUGCAAGUAAGCUUUUCAUCGCACAUGUGCAUGCAUGUA